GGAAGUAAAAGUCGUAACAAGGUCUCCGUUGGUGAACCAGCGGAGGGAUCAUUACUGAGUUUACGCUCUACAACCCUUUGUGAACAUACCUACAACUGUUGCUUCGGCGGGUAGGGUCUCCGCGACCCUCCCGGCCUCCCGCCUCCGGGCGGGUCGGCGCCCGCCGGAGGAUAACCAAACUCUGAUUUAACGACGUUUCUUCUGAGUGGUACAAGCAAAUAAUCAAAACUUUUAACAACGGAUCUCUUGGUUCUGGCAUCGAUGAAGAACGCAGCGAAAUGCGAUAAGUAAUGUGAAUUGCAGAAUUCAGUGAAUCAUCGAAUCUUUGAACGCACAUUGCGCCCGCCAGCAUUCUGGCGGGCAUGCCUGUUCGAGCGUCAUUUCAACCCUCAAGCUCUGCUUGGUGUUGGGGCCCUACAGCCGAUGUAGGCCCUCAAAGGUAGUGGCGGACCCUCCCGGAGCCUCCUUUGCGUAGUAACUUUACGUCUCGCACUGGGAUCCGGAGGGACUCUUGCCGUAAAACCCCCCAAUUUUCCAAAGGUUGACCUCGGAUCAGGUAGGAAUACCCGCUGAACUUAAGCAUAUCAAUA
rnacentral:rRNA from 1 species